AAAUCCCUAAAGCACUUGGAGUCUAAACUAACUUUGAUUGAUCAAAGUUUGACGCAUCAAAGUGGACGCUCAAAAGGAGUCUUCAUGUGUGCAAAUCCUUCAUGCCCCAAAAUCCUUCAUGCCUCCCUUGGUUGUGCACCUAUAACUCAUGCCCCAAAUCCUUCACGUCCAAGGGUUGGGCAUCACAAGGUCUCUCACCUAUAAAAGAUGGAGAAGAGUUGAUGUGAAACCUCACCUCACAUCCCAACACCCCAUUCAUGUGAAAGAGUUCACACCAGAGAGGUUUCAUGGCAAAGGGGUUUCCUCACGCCUCUUUUCAUGCCAAGUUCUCACACCCA
rnacentral:lncRNA from 1 species